CCUACGGGUGGCAGCAGUGGGGAAUAUUGCACAAUGGGGGAAACCCUGAUGCAGCGACGCCGCGUGAGUGAAGAAGUAAUUCGUUAUGUAAAGCUCUAUCAGCAGGGAAGAAAAUGACGGUACCUGAGUAAGAAGCCCCGGCUAACUACGUGCCAGCAGCCGCGGUAAUACGUAGGGGGCAAGCGUUAUCCGGAUUUACUGGGUGUAACGGGAGCGUAGACGGCGCUGCAAGUCCGGAGUGAAAGCCCAUGGCUUAACCAUGGUACUGCUCUGGAAACUGUGGAGCUUGAGUGCGGGAGGGGCAGGCGGAAUGCCUGGUGUAGCGGUGAAAUGCGUAGAUAUUAGGAGGAACACCGGCGGCGAAGGCGGCCUGCUGGACCGUAACUGACGUUGAGGCUCGAAAGCGUGGGGAGCGAACAGGAUUAGAUACCCGGGUAGUC
rnacentral:rRNA from 1 species